GAUCAUUACCAAUUGCGGGCGAGGCCUAGCCUCCCCGCGAACCUUCUCAUCCCUUUAUGGUGUACCUUUGUUUCCUCGGCAGGCUUGCCUGCCAGCGAGGACCCCCAACAAACCUUUUUGCAGUAAGAAGUAUACGUCUUAUCAAAAACAAAUCGUUUACAACUUUCAACAAUGGAUCUCUUGGUUCUGGCAUCGAUGAAGAACGCAGCGAAAUGCGAUAAGUAGUGUGAAUUGCAGAAUUUAGCGAAUCAUCGAAUCUUUGAACGCACAUUGCGCCUCUUGGUAUUCCAUGGGGCACGCCUGUUCGAGCGUCAUUUCAACCCUCAAGCACUGCUUGGUGUUGGGCGUCUGUCCCGCCUCUGCGCGUGGACUCGCCUCAAAGUCAUUGGCGGCUGUUCCCCUUCGGCUCGUAAGCGCAGCACAGUCAGCGCCCGGAGCUCUGGUGGAUGGCGUCCAGCAAGCUAUAUUUCUAGUCUUGACCUCGGAUCAGGUGGGGAUACCCGCUGAACUUAAGCAUAUCAAUAAGCGGAGGAAAAGAAACCAACAGGGAUUGCCUUAGUAACGGCGAGUGAAGCGGCAACAGCUCAAAUUUGAAAUCUGGCCCUUUUAGGGUCCGAGUUGUAAUUUGCAGAGGGUGCUUUGGCGUUAGUAGCGAUCUAAGUUCCUUGGAACAGGACGUCACAGAGGGUGAGAAUCCCGUACGUGGUUGCUCUACUUUCGCCGUGUAAAGCCCCUUCGACGAGUCGAGUUGUUUGGGAAUGCAGCUCUAAAUGGGAGGUAAAUUUCUUCUAAAGCUAAAUACCGGCCAGAGACCGAUAGCGCACAAGUAGAGUGAUCGAAAGAUGAAAAGCACUUUGGAAAGAGAGUCAAAAAGCACGUGAAAUUGUUGAAAGGGAAGCGCUUGCAGCCAGACGUGCCUGUAGUUGCUCAUCCGGGCUUUUGCCCGGUGCACUCUUCUGCAGGCAGGCCAGCAUCAGUUUGGGCGGCUGGAUAAAGACCUCUGUCACGUACCUCCCUCCGGGGAGGCCUUAUAGGGGAGGUGUCAUGCAGCCAGCCCGGACUGA
rnacentral:misc_RNA from 1 species